AUGAAGCGCUCUGCUAGCUGGUUGGAGACUGCAAAACCCGUCUUCGUCACCAAGGCGGAGCGGGAGCGCCGCCAGGCGCCCGCCGUCGCCGACCGGCGCCACUCUGCAGCAGAUCUGUUCCGCUCCCUCCAUCAGCCCCCUUUGCUGCCGUCGCCGACUCCCCCGUCCAGCUUCAACCCUUCUCUUUGCAACUCUGCCUAUCGCGACUCUUCCGAUCGGGAUCGGGACAGAGACCGCCGCCACGACCUCGACCGCGACCGCCGCCGCGACCGAUAUGACUCUUCCUGCCGGGAUAGGGGUAAGGAGAGGAUUAGGGAGCGCGGCCCCGGCCGCGACUGCCACAGGGAGCGGGAGCAGGACCGAGACGGGGAGCGCGCGGACCGGAACAGGGAGAAAGAUCGGCUGGAGAGGAUGGCGGAGCGGGAGCGGGAGAAGGAGCUGGAGGCGAUCAAGGAGCAGUACCUGGGGUGUAAGAAGCCCAAGAAGCAGGUCAUCAAGCCAUCGGAGAAGUUCCGCUCCUUCGACUGGGAGAACACCGAGGACACAAGCCGCGACAUGAACACGCUCUACCAGUUGCCGCACGAGGCCCGGCCCCUCUUCGGCCGGGGAUUCGUUGCUGGUAUGGACCGCCGUGAGCAGAAGAAGGCGGCGGCCCAACACGAGAAGAAGAUCCGUGCAGAGCUGCGGCACAGAACUGGUGCGGAGGAUCGCAUGGAGGACGAUGAUGAUUUGGUGGGCAAGAAGAAUGCUGCUGCAGCUGAUUCGUAUGACACCUUUGACAUGCGUGUUGACAGGCACUGGUCUGAAAAGUCGCUCGCGGAGAUGACCGAGCGAGAUUGGCGCAUUUUCCGCGAAGACUUCAGUAUCUCUUACAAGGGGUCUCGCGUACCUCGGCCGAUGCGGAGCUGGAGCGAGAGCAACCUUGGGGCUGAGCUGCUGCUUGCUGUCGAGGGGGCUGGAUACCGGAAACCAUCGCCAAUCCAGAUGGCUGCCAUUCCACUUGGUUUAAGCCAGCGUGAUGUCAUUGGGAUUGCUGAGACAGGUUCCGGCAAGACUGCAGCUUUUGUGCUUCCCAUGAUGUCUUAUAUUGCACAAUUACCCCCCAUAAGUGAUGAAAAUGGUCCUUAUGCUCUUGUCCUGGCACCUACUCGCGAGCUUGCUCAACAGAUUGAGGAGGAGACUGUGAAAUUUGCGAAUUGUCUAGGCAUUAGGGUCGUGUCAGUUGUUGGUGGUCAGCAGAUUGAGGGGCAGGCCUUAAAGCUCAAGCAGGGCUGUGAGAUUGUAAUUGCCACACCUGGUCGGCUUCUUGAUUGCUUGGAGAGCAGGUAUGCUGUGCUCAACCAGUGCAACUAUGUUGUGCUUGAUGAGGCUGAUAGGAUGAUCGACAUGGGUUUUGAGCCACAGGUUGUUGCUGUCCUUGACGCGAUGCCUUCGAGUAACCUGAAACCUGAGAAUGAGGACGAGAAACUUGAUGAGAGGAGGAUUUACAGGACUACAUGUAUGUUCAGUGCCACCAUGCCACCUGCUGUGGAGCGUCUUGCUAGAAAGUAUCUCCGGCACCCAGUUGUUGUGACAAUUGGUACGCCGGGCAAGGCCACUGAGCUAAUCACCCAGAAUGUGAUGAUGGUGAAGGAGUCUGAAAAGAAAUUUCUGCUUCACAAGAUGCUCAGAGAGCUUGGAGACAAAACAGCCAUUGUCUUCUGCAAUACCAGGGAAUCAGUGGGCAUGCAUACCAAGGAUCUGGCGAAUAAAGGCUUCCGCGUCAUGGGUAUACAUGGAGGAAAAUCACAGGCAAAGAGAGAUAUCAGCCUUGAUGGUUUCAGGAACAGGCACUGCAAUGUGCUUGUGGCUACUGAUAUAUUGGCGCGUGGUAUCGAUGUUCCUGAUGUUGCACAUGUGAUUAACUAUGAGAUGCAUAAUUCAAUCGAGAUAUACACACAUCGCAUUGGAAGAACAGGGCGUGCAGGUAAGAAGGGUGUGGCGACUUCAUUUUUAACUCUGGAGAACACUGAUAUUUUCUUUGAUCUGAAACAGAUGCUUAUACAGAGCAACAGUCCUGUGCCACCUGAACUUGCACGGCACGAGGCAUCAAGGUUCAGGCCCGGCUCAGCUCCUGGUAGACCUCCAAGAAGAAAUGACACUGUUUUUGCAAAUCGCUGA
rnacentral:rRNA from 1 species